GGAAAAUAGGGUUUUGUUUUGGAAAUACAAGGAAUGCGUUAAGCGCAAAAGUUGAAGGAAUGCAGAGAGGUCCAAGUGUUGCAACAAUGGCUGAAGAGAAAGUGAGUGGUAUCUCAAACCGGUUACCGUCGAAAUCGGACUAGAAGAAUGACUGGAUUCAAGAAUAACUUGACAACAUUUACCGUGAAGCUUUAGGUGUGAAUGAUGACGCAAUCGUGAAUGCGUGUUUAACAAAGAAACGUAAAGGAAAAGAACAUGCAGUUGCAAAACCUGGGGUGGGUGAUACAAUGAAGGUUGUGAAGGAACCAGUUGGUGGUCCCAAAAAAAGUCAUCGAUGAAACUUCAAGGCGUGCUGAGAUAUCCGGAAAAAAGAAUCGAAGGGAUGGCAAGUUAUCUAAAGCAGAUGAGGAUGAAGGGAAGAAAGUACAAAAGAGGUUGUGGGAGGCUUUCCUGGAUCCUAAAUUGGAGCAUCAUAGUAGUAGUUCUGAUUUGGAUGUUGAAGACUCUGAUGCUGAAAAGUCUGAUGAUGAAGAUGUGGAAGAUAAAGAGGAAGAUGACAGAGAGGAAACAUAUUACUGGGAAAAAGAUAUCAGUUAUGGUUAUAAGGCACGAAAAAAUGUUAUGAAUUUUCCUAGAGAGGUCACCAUGAAAUGUCUAUUUUGGAACCAAAAAGUAAUAGAGAUUGUUGAUGAAGAAACUAGAAUGAGCUAUUAUGGAAAGGUCCAUUGUGCAAAGCGUAACGACAAGGUGGUGAAAAAAAGAUAAAUUUAUAGGAAGUGACUGGUACGAGUUUGCUAAAACCAAGAAGGUCGGAAGAAGUGAUAAGCUUGGAUUCUCCAUAGAUAGUUUAUCUCCCGAAACAAUGUAUGUUUCUUUGCUGAACCAUUGAAGUAAUUUACAGGAGACCGUUUAAAUUAUAUGUUAAUAGUGGUGUUUUGAUGAAGUUUUUUUAAUGUUGUAGUAAUAUGUUUUGAUGAAGAUUAUCUUUAGCAGUAGUGUUAUGAUAGUAUGGAAGUAAAGUACUAUGAUAGUUUGGUAUGUUUUAAAGUGUGGGAUGUAUGUAAUGUUUUGGAUAU